UACAGAGGGGGCAAGCGUUGUUCGGAAUUACUGGGCGUAAAGGGCUCGUAGGCGGCCAACUAAGUCAGACGUGAAAUCCCUCGGCUUAACCGGGGAACUGCGUCUGAUACUGGAUGGCUUGAGGUUGGGAGAGGGAUGCGGAAUUCCAGGUGUAGCGGUGAAAUGCGUAGAUAUCUGGAGGAACACCGGUGGCGAAGGCGGCAUCCUGGACCAAUUCUGACGCUGAGGAGCGAAAGCCAGGGGAGCAAAC
rnacentral:rRNA from 1 species